rnacentral:lncRNA from 1 species
UACGUAAGAUUCAUCGGUAAAUAUUCCUUACUUCUAAGGAAGUUUAAGCGCUAUCCAGUAUAGAAUCACCGAAUUUUUAAAUUAAAAAUGAAAAAGAAACGUAAUUUGCAUGUGCAAACACGAAUUGUUUUUACUCUUCGAAUAAAUUUUUUAAAUUAGCGGAGAAAGAUGGCUUUUUGAGUUUUUGUUCGUCAGUAAUGGGCAACUGAACCUUCACUCAAUAUCUUUAAAGAAUAGUUCGUAUAGGUUAUUGAUACAAUCCUAUUUUGGCUGUCUGGUUGUUUGGCUGUGGGAAGAAUGCUUUUCCUCGUAGUCAGUCACGAUUAUCGCUCUGAUAGAGGCAAUCCGAAUGAGCAAUCAAAUCUUAGUACCUUUAAGGGAUAGUCGAUAUAGGUUAUUAAUGCAAUGCCUGUUUUGUCUGUCUGUCUGGUUGUUUCUCUAUUGAAAGAGUGCUUUUCCUCGCAGCCAUACAGGAUUGUCGCUCUGAUAGAGAGAAUCCAAAUGGGCACUCAAAUCUUGCUACUUUUAAGGAAGAGUCCAUAUAGGUUAUUAAUACAAUUCUUGUUUUGUCUGUCUGCUGUCUGCCUGUUUGUCUGUUGAAAGUAUGCUUUUUCUCGUAUUCAAUCCGGAUUAUCAUUAUGGUAUAGGCAGUUCAAAUGGGCAACCAAAUCUUACCACUUUUAAGAAGUAGUCCAUAUAGGUUGUUAAUGCAAUGCCUGUUCUGUCUGUCUUCUGUCUGCCUGUCUGGUUGUUUAUCUGUUGAAAGAAUGCUUUUCCUCGCAGCAAAACAGGAUUGUCGCUCUGAUAGAGGCAAUCCAAAUAGGCACUCAAAUCUUGCUACUUUUAAGGAACAGUCCAUAUAGGUUAUUAAUACAAUUCCUGUUCCGUCUGUCUGCCGUCUGCCUAUUUGUCUGUUGAAAGUAUGCUUUUUCUCGUAUUCAAUCAGGAUUAUCAUUCUGAUGUAGGCAAUCCAAAUUGGCAAUCAAAUCUUACCAUUUUUAAGGAACAGUCCAUAUAGG